rnacentral:rRNA from 1 species
AGGGUGUGUAGGUGGUCAUAUUAGUCAGCUUGUUAAAUCCCGGGGCUUAACUCCGGAAUCGCAGCCGAAACGGUACGACUCGAGAGCGUAAGGGGUGAAUGGAACUCAUGGUGUAGGGGUGAAAUCCGUUGAUAUCAUGGGGAACACCGAAAGCGAAAGCAAUUCACUGGUACGUUUCUGACACUGAAACACGAAAGCGUGGGUAGCGAACGGGAUUAGAUACCCCGGUAGUCCACGCCCUAAACGAUGAUAACUGGAUAUAGGGAGUAUCGACCCUCUCUGUGUCGAAGCAAACGCGUUAAGUUAUCCGCCUGGGUAGUACGGUCGCAAGACUAAAACUCAAAGGAAUAGACGGGGGCUUGCACAAGUGGUGGAGCGUGUGGCUUAAUUCGUCGCUAAGCGAAGAACCUUACCAAGGUUAGAAAUCCUACUGCACGCCUAUCGAAAGAUAGGAAGCCUUCGAGGGUGUAGGACAGGUGAUGCAUGGCUGUCGUCAGUUCGUGGUUUGAAUCGUUCCCUUCAGUGGGGCAACG